rnacentral:rRNA from 1 species
CCAGACUCCUACGGGAGGCAGCAGUGGGGAAUAUUGCACAAUGGGGGAAACCCUGAUGCAGCGACGCCGCGUGAGCGAUGAAGUAUUUCGGUAUGUAAAGCUCUAUCAGCAGGGAAGAAAAUGACGGUACCUGACUAAGAAGCCCCGGCUAACUACGUGCCAGCAGCCGCGGUAAUACGUAGGGGGCAAGCGUUAUCCGGAUUUACUGGGUGUAAAGGGAGCGUAGACGGCGGUGCAAGCCAGAUGUGAAAGCCCGGGGCUCAACCCCGGGACUGCAUUUGGAACUGUGCUGCUAGAGUGUCGGAGAGGCAGGCGGAAUUCCUAGUGUAGCGGUGAAAUGCGUAGAUAUACGGAGGAACACCAGUGGCGAAGGCGGCCUGCUGGACAUUAACUGACGCUGAGGCGCGAAAGCGUGGGGAGCAAACAGGAUUAGAUACCCUGGUAC